GGUCAUGUGGUGUAGUGGUAACACCCUUGCUAUAUAUGUAUGCAGAAGACCCUGGGUUCAAUUCCCAGUUCUGGCCA